rnacentral:rRNA from 1 species
CUACGGGCCGCUGCAGUGGGGAAUAUUGCACAAUGGGCGCAAGCCUGAUGUAGCCAUGCCGCGUGUAUGAAGAAGGCCUUCGGGUUGUAAAGUACUUUCAGCGGGGAGGAAGGGAGUAAAGUUAAUACCUUUGCUCAUUGACGUUACCCGCAGAAGAAGCACCGGCUAACUCCGUGCCAGCAGCCGCGGUAAUACGGAGGGUGCAAGCGUUAAUCGGAAUUACUGGGCGUAAAGCGCACGCAGGCGGUUUGUUAAGUCAGAUGUGAAAUCCCCGGGCUCAACCUGGGAACUGCAUCUGAUACUGGCAAGCUUGAGUCUCGUAGAGGGGGGUAGAAUUCCAGGUGUAGCGGUGAAAUGCGUAGAGAUCUCGAGGAAUACCGGUGGCGAAGGUGGCCCCCUGGACGAAGACUGACGCUCAGGUGCGAAAGCGUGGGGAGCAAACAGGAUUAGAUACCCGUGUAGUC